AAUUGACGCUGGCGGCAGGCCUAACACAUGCAAGUUCGAGCGCGAAAGCACUUCGGUGUGAGUAGAGCGGCGGACGGGUGAGUAACGCGUAGGAAUCUACCUAGUAGUGGGGGACAACUCGGGGAAACUCGAGCUAAUACCGCAUAAGCCCUACGGGGGAAAGCGGGGGACCUUCGGGCCUCGUGCUAUUAGAUGAGCCUGCGUUGGAUUAGCUAGUUGGUGGGGUAAAGGCCUACCAAGGCGACGAUCCAUAGCUGGUCUGAGAGGAUGAUCAGCCACACCGGGACUGAGACACGGCCCGGACUCCUACGGGAGGCAGCAGUGGGGAAUAUUGCGCAAUGGGCGAAAGCCUGACGCAGCCAUGCCGCGUGUGUGAAGAAGGCCUUCGGGUUGUAAAGCACUUUCAAUUGGGAGGAAAGGUUCACGGUUAAUAACCGUGAGCUGUGACGUUACCUUUAGAAGAAGCACCGGCUAACUCCGUGCCAGCAGCCGCGGUAAUACGGAGGGUGCGAGCGUUAAUCGGAAUUACUGGGCGUAAAGCGCGCGUAGGUGGUCUGUUAAGUCGGAUGUGAAAGCCCCGGGCUCAACCUGGGAACUGCAUUCGAUACUGGCAGACUAGAGUGCGAGAGAGGGAGGUAGAAUUCCAUGUGUAGCGGUGAAAUGCGUAGAUAUGUGGAGGAAUACCAGUGGCGAAGGCGGCCUCCUGGCUCGACACUGACACUGA
rnacentral:rRNA from 1 species